ACAACCCUCCUGAUCCCAUUCUUUGUGUCUCUUUCUCAUUCCCACUCCAAAACUCAGGUUUCUCCCUUCAGUCAAGGCUAGUCCUUGAUAGGUGUCACCGGAACUGGCUCAGGAUCAGCAUAAGGCACAGCAGAUGAGGCACUCCACCUGGGUAGAGAUGUCUCAGCAUUUGGAAUGGGUAAACAAGCUGAAGAUUUCCACACCCCAGUCCUAGUCACCUGCUGCCCUGAAGUUAAAUCUCACAGGAUGGGGGUGCCAUGAUAAGGUGGCAUGGGAGGUAGGAUCACUCCCUAAGCUCAGAAACUGUUGUACUACACUGAAGGAAAUGACCUGGCUGAUCUGAGGAACUUUAACUUCAGAAGCUGGUGUUAUUGGCUGAGGAUAAUGCAAGUUCAGGAUCACCGUGCUACCAUACCAUUAUAGCAUACUAUUAACUCUACCUUGAAGAAGACCUCCCUUGUGUUUAAAUCAUCAAGUUGAAUUUUUAAGUAUCUAUCAAAUAUCAGUACUAGGGUCAGUGUGUGAAUGAUUUUUUUUUUUUUAGAUUGUGUUUUAUUUAGUUCAAACCACUUAGGAUGUAGAGUGGAACUAUUAUAAUUUUAAGCAGCACUGAACAAAUUAUACCAUUAGUCUGUUAAAUACAUCAUCAUGAAUUCUUUGGAAAGUGUUGAUUUAUGAAAAGGGAGCAUUCUAUUUUGUAUAAUAUUCUUCUUCAGAUAUAUUUAUUUGCUCCUUAUUUCUGACAGUUGGCUAACUAGAUAAAGAAACCUCCUUUACAUUUAUACCAUAUAUACACACACACACAUAUAUAUAUAUAUAUAUAUAUCUCAGAUAUAUACCAGUGUUAUAGUAUUUACUUUACCAAUAAACAAUAUUUUCAUAUUUUUUUCUUUACUUUCAAUGCAGCUGUGAAAGCAUAAAAAAUAAAAUAGUGGCCACUGGUAUUAUUCAGGUUUAAAAAUAUAUCCCAAGCAGAUCUUUACAUCUUUGUUCUAUAAUGUCAGUAAGUUUGUGGAUAUUUUCUACAAUUGUACUAUGAG
rnacentral:lncRNA from 1 species